GGGGAAGGCUUCAGCUCCACUGAUCCGAUACUUCAGGCUCACCUUGGAUAAAGGACUCAACCAAACAUGAGGUUUCUUUUCUUCGCCUUUAUCAUGGCCGUCAUGCUUUCCAUGAUUAGUGCUGAUCAUUCUGGAGAGAAACGUUGGAAGAAAAAAUUCCGUGAGAGGUUUGUUCAACCAUAUUAUCCAAAUUACCCACUGUACCAACAAAAUCCAGGUCCAUACGUAAAUGCUUAUCCAUACCCAGGUGCUUACUAACCAUGGAACAUGACUAAACAGGUUUGAUUCAACCCAGGCUUCUCAUCUUCUAUGUUCACUAAUAAUUGGCAUUGUGUUUCAACUGAAUAAUCAAUGCAAUUAUUUGGGAUGAAGAUCUCUGUUGGUGUAUUCUCUGCCUCAUGAAUUGGCUUUCCAAUUCAUGUUGAGUUAGACUUCUUUAACUUCAUAAUUUUUGACCUGAUGUUACUAAUGAUUCUAUUUUACUAAAAUUCAUUUCAAAAAUAAAGCAAUAAAUUUCAA